GAAGUUUUCAGAGAUGAGAAUGUGCCUUCGGGAACCGUGAGACAGGUGCUGCAUGGCUGUCGUCAGCUCGUGUUGUGAAAUGUUGGGUUAAGUCCCGCAACGAGCGCAACCCUUAUCCUUUGUUGCCAGCGGUCCGGCCGGGAACUCAAAGGAGACUGCCAGUGAUAAACUGGAGGAAGGUGGGGAUGACGUCAAGUCAUCAUGGCCCUUACGACCAGGGCUACACACGUGCUACAAUGGCGCAUACAAAGAGAAGCGACCUCGCGAGAG
rnacentral:rRNA from 1 species